rnacentral:SRP_RNA from 1 species
CCGUGCUAGAUGGGGAACUAGCGGUGCCCUGUCACCCGCAAACCGCUAUAGCGGGAUCGAAUUCCCGCCUGAGGCUGCUCGUUUGCCGGGACUGCUAGCGUCGUGAGGCGUUGAGGACUGGGUCCUGCGCGGCAGAAGUCCACGAACCCCGCCAGGUUCGGGAGAAAGCAACGGUAAGUGGAUCCUUCUGGGUGCCGCAGGGUCGCCUAGUCGGAGCUUAUCGAGCUGGCAAGCCGGGGGACGACUGUCAAGGGUGGGUGCACGG